GAAGUGCCUGAUGGACGUGGCUCUCGUCACGAAAUGAGUUUGGAUCCGAGAAGCCCUCUUCUUCAUCGGAAAACAGGACAAAGAUGAGCUGCGUGCCCAUAAUUCCACGUUUACGCUGAUUCCUCCAGUGCCUCAUCAGCAGCUACGUUCUGGAUGGCUAGCAUGUACCGAAGGCACAAAACCUCCAGAGUUGGCAGAGUCAAGUCCUGGCGUGCCCGAGGCUAUCCAGGGGAACACGCGGGACAGACAGCACCCUCAGCCUGUCCCCAUGACCCUCUGCUCCAGUCUGAGGGGCAGGACACCAUGAGACCUCUCAGACACAGAGUCCACCCUCGACAUGACCCGGAUGAAAGGCAGGAGUGUGCUCCCUAAAGGGGACCCAUCUCUGCAAGCCCACAGCCCUACCUGCAGCAUCCACAGCCUCAGAGAGCAGCGGGGCCCCUUAACCCUGAACCCCCUCCAAGAGCAUCAGGACAACAAGCCUUGAGCUGUGGAGACAAGAGAAUCAGUAUCCCUGGCCCAGGGAGGAUUCCAGGAGAGGACAGGGGCAGGAGUCCUGGCCCAGAGCCAGAACCAAGAGUCCAGCCAGAGGCGGCUAGAGCAUCG
rnacentral:lncRNA from 1 species